rnacentral:rRNA from 1 species
GACGAACGCUGGCGGCGUGCCUAAUACAUGCAAGUAGAACGCUGAAGGAGGAGCUUGCUUCUCUGGAUGAGUUGCGAACGGGUGAGUAACGCGUAGGUAACCUGCCUGGUAGCGGGGGAUAACUAUUGGAAACGAUAGCUAAUACCGCAUAAGAGUAGAUGUUGCAUGACAUUUGCUUAAAAGGUGCAAUUGAAUCACUACCAGAUGGACCUGCGUUGUAUUAGCUAGUUGGUGGGGUAACGGCUUACCAAGGCGACGAUACAUAGCCGACCUGAGAGGGUGAUCGGCCACACUGGGACUGAGACACGGCCCAGACUCCUACGAGAGGCAGCAGUAGGGAAUCUUCGGCAAUGGACGGAAGUCUGACCGAGCAACGCCGCGUGAGUGAAGAAGGUUUUCGGAUCGUAAAGCUCUGUUGUAAGAGAAGAACGAGUGUGAGAGUGGAAAGUUCACACUGUGACGUUAUCUUAACAGAAAGGGACGGCUAACUCCGUG